rnacentral:rRNA from 1 species
GACGAACGCUGGCGGCAUGCCUAAUACAUGCAAGUCGAACGCUUUUUCUUUCACCGGAGCUUGCUCCACCGAAAGAAAAAGAGUGGCGAACGGGUGAGUAACACGUGGGUAACCUGCCCAUCAGAAGGGGAUAACACUUGGAAACAGGUGCUAAUACCGUAUAACACUAUUUUCCGCAUGGAAGAAAGUUGAAAGGCGCUUUUGCGUCACUGAUGGAUGGACCCGCGGUGCAUUAGCUAGUUGGUGAGGUAACGGCUCACCAAGGCAACGAUGCAUAGCCGACCUGAGAGGGUGAUCGGCCACACUGGGACUGAGACACGGCCCAGACUCCUACGGGAGGCAGCAGUAGGGAAUCUUCGGCAAUGGACGAAAGUCUGACCGAGCAACGCCGCGUGAGUGAAGAAGGUUUUCGGAACGUAAAACUCUGUUGUUAGAGAAGAACAAGGAUGAGAGUAAAACGUUCAUCCCUUGACGGUAUCUAACCAGAAAGCCACGGCUAACUACGUGCCAGCAGCCGCUGUAA